CCUACGGGAUGCAGCAGUGAGGAAUAUUGGUCAAUGGGCGCGAGCCUGAACCAGCCAAGUCGCGUGAGGGAUGACUGCCCUACGGGUUGUAAACUUCUUUUAUCAAGGAAUAAAGUGAGGGACGUGUGCCUUUUUGUAUGUACUUUAUGAAUAAGGAUCGGCUAACUCCGUGCCAGCAGCCGCGGUAAUACGGAGGAUCCGAGCGUUAUCCGGAUUUAUUGGGUUUAAAGGGAGCGUAGAUGGGUUGUUAAGUCAGUUGUGAAAGUUUGCGGCUCAACCGGAAAAUUGCAAUUGAUACUGGCAGCCUUGAGUACAGUAGAGGUAGGCGGAAUUCGUGGUGUAGCGGUGAAAUGCUUAGAUAUCACGAAGAACUCCGAUUGCGAAGGCAGCCUACUAGACUGCCACUGACGUUGAUGCUCGAAAGUGUGGGUAUCAAACAGGAUUAGAUACCCGGGUAGUC
rnacentral:rRNA from 1 species